rnacentral:rRNA from 1 species
AACGUAGGAGACAAACGUUAUCCGGAGUUACUGGGCGUAAAGGGCGUGCAGGUGGCUUGAUAAGUUCGGCGUGAAAGCCCACGGCUCAACCGUGGAGGGUCAUUGGAAACUGGGAGACUUGAGUGCAGAAGAGGAAAGUGGAAUUCCAUGUGUAGCGGUGAAAUGCGUAGAGAUAUGGAGGAACACCAGUGGCGAAGGCGACUUUCUGGUCUGUAACUGACACUGAGGCGCGAAAGCGUGGGGAGCAAACAGG